rnacentral:ncRNA from 1 species
UACUUAAUUAAAACGAAGCAGUACGACGUCUAGUGGCUGGUUUUGACGUAAUGUGAUUUCUUCCCUGUGCUCUGAAUGCCAAAGUGGGGAAAUUCAACCAAACACGGGUAAGCAGUGGGAGUUUCUAUGGCUCUCAUGUCGCAAACACAACAUCUUGUUUGCCUCGGUAGACCUUUCCAACUUCUUUGAUUCUGUUGCGCAAGACACUAU